UGGAACCAGGCCUCCUACAACAACUUUUCGGAAAGCCCCUAGAGUGCUCUCAGGCUUGCCCAAGAGUCUAAAGACCAAGGGUGCGGUUUACGAGGCCAAAAUUUGAGUUUUAGACUCUCUUCUGGGCGUUUUUCUAAAACAUAAGCCCCGGUUUUAGUGUCGUCAAACGUGGUGUCCUAACUUAUAUAUCUUGGCACGAAUGCUCGUCGCAGCUAGGCGGGAAGCCCAUAUAAACAGUGCAACACACGCGAAGAGAUUUCAUUGCGGACUCAAAGCCAAAGGAUAUAUGCUAAUGCGAUACAUAUACUAACGGGUGCGAUCAUACCAGCACUAAUGCACCGGAUUCCAUCAGAACCCCGCAGUUAAGCAUGCUUGGGCGAGAGUAGUCCUAGGAUGGGUGACCUCCCGAGAAGUCCUCGUGUUGCACCCCUUUUUUGUUCCUCUUCAUUUCUUUGUUUUUUUUUUUUGGUCUUUUCAUUUGAAAAAAACAAUGCAUCUUCCGAACGACGCUAUUUCUAGACCGUGUGGAACCACGCCUCCUACAACAACUUUUCGGAAAGUCCCAAGAGUGCUCUCGGGCUUGCCCAACGGUCUAAAGACCAUGGGUGUGGUUUACGAGGCGAAAUUUUGAGUUUUAGACCCUCUUCCGGGCGUUUUUCUAAAACAUAAGCCCCUGUUUUAGUGUCGUCAAACGUGGUGUCCUAACUUAUAUAACUUGGCACGAAUGCUCGUCCCAGCUGGGCAGGAAAACCCAUAUAAACAGUGCAACACACGCGAAGAGAUUUCAUUGCAGACUCAAAGCCAAAGGAUAUAUGCUAAUGCGAUACAUAUACUGAUGGGUGCGAUCAUACCAGCACUAAUGCACCGAAUCCCAUCAGAACACCGCAGUUAAGCGUGCUUGGGCGAGAGUAGUACUAGGAUGGGUGACCUCCCGGGAAGUCCUCGUGUUGCACCUUUUUUUGUUCCUCUUGAUUCUUUUGUUUUUUUUUUUUUUUUGUCUUUUCAUUUCAAAAACAAGGCAUCUUCCGAAGGACGCUAUUUCUAAACCGUGUGGAACCACGCCUCCUACAAAACCUUUUCGGAAAGCCCCUAGAGUGCUCUCGGGCUUGCCCAAGAGUCUAAAGUCCAAUGGUGCGGUUUACGAGGCCAAAAUUUGAGUUUUAGACCCUCUUCCGGGCGUUUUUCUAAAACAUAAGCCCCGGUUUUAGUGUCGUCAAACGUGGUGUCCUA
rnacentral:lncRNA from 1 species